CAAGAUCUCAGGCUGUGACCCUCUAGAGGGAAGCGCUUUCUGUUGGCUAAAAGAAAAGAAAGCGCUUCCCUUCAGAGUGUUACGCUUUGAGAAAAGCA
rnacentral:pre_miRNA from 2 species